UACAGAGGGUGCGAGCGUUGUCCGGAUUUACUGGGCGUAAAGGGCGCGCAGGCGGCUCAUUUUGUCAGGCGUGAAAGCCCCGGGCUUAACCUGGGAACUGCGUUUGAUACGGAUGGGCUAGAGUUCGGGAGAGGAGAGUGGAAUUCCCAGUGUAGAGGUGAAAUUCGUAGAUAUUGGGAAGAACACCGGUGGCGAAGGCGGCUCUCUGGACCGAUACUGACGCUGAGGCGCGAAAGCGUGGGGAGCAAACAGG
rnacentral:rRNA from 1 species